rnacentral:rRNA from 1 species
AGUCGAACGGGAAACCUUUUAUUGAAGCUUCGGCAGAUUUAGCUGGUUUCUAGUGGCGGACGGGUGAGUAACGCGUGGGUAACCUGCCUUAUACAGGGGGAUAACAGUCAGAAAUGACUGCUAAUACCGCAUAAGCGCACAGGGCCGCAUGGCCCGGUGUGAAAAACUCCGGUGGUAUAAGAUGGACCCGCGUUGGAUUAGCUGGUUGGCGGGGUAACGGCCCACCAAGGCGACGAUCCAUAGCCGGCCUGAGAGGGUGAACGGCCACAUUGGGACUGAGACACGGCCCAGACUCCUACGGGAGGCAGCAGUGGGGAAUAUUGCACAAUGGGGGAAACCCUGAUGCAGCGACGCCGCGUGAAGGAAGAAGUAUCUCGGUAUGUAAACUUCUAUCAGCAGGGAAGAUAGUGACGGUACCUGACUAAGAAGCCCCGGCUAACUACGUGCCAGCAGCCGCGGUAAUACGUAGGGGGCAAGCGUUAUCCGGAUUUACUGGGUGUAAAGGGAGCGUAGACGGUGUGGCAAGUCUGAUGUGAAAGGCAUGGGCUCAACCUGUGGACUGCAUUGGAAACUGUCAUACUUGAGUGCCGGAGGGGUAAGCGGAAUUCCUAGUGUAGCGGUG